AUGCUGCUGCCCCUGGCCUGCCUUCACCGCCGCGUCGCUCAGCGCCCGACCUCCCUGCUUUUGCUUGCAGAACAGCUCCCGAGGCCCCCGUGCGGCGCGAGGGCGCCGGCGGGGAUCCACAGGCGCCGAGGCUGCCCCCAAGGCCCCAUUCACGGCGGCGGACCUAGCCAACAGCAAUGCCGGCGCCGCUGUGGGCAGGAAGGCCGGGCAGCGCAGCCUGCACAGCGCCCCCGCGCCCGCGCCUCCCACACUCUGCAACAACCACCUGGAGAGCCCGGAAUGGCGGUGCUGCAGCCCCACGCUGCGCGAGAGGAACGCGCUCAUAAAAAACAACGAGCUCAUGGCCGAUGUGCACUUUGUCUUGGAGCCCCCGGGGGCGACCAGGACGGUGCCCGCCCACAAGUACGUCCUGGCUGUCGCAGCUCCGUCUUCUAUACCAUGUUCUACGGGGACCUGGCGGAAGUCAAAUCUGAAAUUCACAUUCCAGACGUGCAGCCCGUAGCCUUUCUGAUCCUCUUAAAGUACAUGUACAGUGAUGAGAUCGAUCUGGAAGCUGACAUGGUGCUGGCCACUCUGUACGCUGCUAAGAAGUACAUCGUCCCAGCAUUGGCAAAAGCCUGCAUCAACUUUCUGGAGACAAGUCUGAAAGCCAAGAACGCCUGCGUCCUGCUGUCCCAGAGCCGGCUGUUUGAGGAGCCCGAGCUGACGCAGCGCUGCUGGGAGUUCAUCGACGCACAGGCCGAGAUGGUCUUGCGGUCCGAAGGCUUUUGUGAGAUAGACCGGCAGACAUUGGAGAUCAUUAUCACUCGGGAGGCCUUCAACACCAAGGAGGAGGUGGUCUUCGAGGCCCUCCUGAACUGGGCCGAGGCAGAGUGCAAGAGGCAGGGGCUGCCAGUCACCCCAGGAAACAAGAGGCACGUUUUGGGGCGAGCCCUCUAGCUGGUCCGAAUUCCAACCAUGACCCUAGAGGAAUUUGCCAAGGGCGCUGCGCAAGCAGACAUCCUGACUCUGGAGGAGACCCACGCCAUCUUCCUGUGGUACACGGCCACCAACAAGCCCCGCCUGGACUUCCCCCUGACCAAGAGGAAGGGCCUCUCCCCGCAGAGGUGCCACCGAUUCCAGUCUUCUGUUUACCGCAGCAACCAAUGGCAGUACCGCGGGCACUGUGACAGCAUCCAGUUUGCAGUGGACAGAAGGGUAUUUAUUGCGGGGCUGAGCCUGUAUGGGUCCAGCUCUGGGAAGGCUGAGUACAGCGUGAAGAUUGAGCUCAAGCGGCUCGGGAUGGUUCUGGCUCAGAACCUGACCAAGUUCAUGUCGGACGGAUCCGGUAACACCUUCCCGGUCUGGUUUGAACACCCGGUCCAGGUUGAACAAGACAUCUGCUACACCACCAGUGCUGUCCUGGAUGGCAGCAACCUCAGCUACUUUGGGCAGGAGGGGAUGACGGAAGUGCAGUGCGGAAAGGUGGCCUUCCAGUUCCAGUGCUCCUGGGACAGCACCAACGGGACUGGGGUCCAGGGUGGGCAGAUCCCUGAGCUCAUCUUCUGUGCCUGAGGUGCCCAGGGAGGCUGCAGCAGGUCGGCCAGUGAGUGGAGGGGAAGUCAGGACACUAACUGCUUCUUGACACCAUGAAAGGCCACAUUUAACCUUGUCUGUCUUUGGCAUGUAGUCAACUGAAGCUUGAUUCUGUGAAGUAGGCACCUUUUCCACACAGCCAGAGCUGGAGGAUUGGAGUCUUAGGCAUCUCUGGUACACUGGGGUACAUGUCUCAGGUGGAGGAAGAUUUAGGGCACAACACAGGCCCCAGAUCCCCUCCCAGUGGCACCCAUGCCACCUGCUUUGAGGGGUUGGAUGUUCCUGCCACGCUCUUGGAUACUAAGUGGUUCCAAGCUUCACUUUAGACCUUCCUUACACAUUUAAAAUUGGCAAAAAGUCACUUAAAAUAAUGGACUUCUGUAAUAAAGCUUGCCAAAAAU